rnacentral:rRNA from 1 species
CGUCAAUCCCCUGGGUUUGGAGGAUAACUGUAUUCCCCCCUCUGAGAGAAAUCCUUAUCGCUUGCAACUUGUUCCGAGGGAUUUUUGUUAUAGGAAAAUUAAAAAAUAACAAGGUUUCCGUAGGUGAACCUGCGGAAGGAUCAUUACAGUAUUCUUUUGCCAGCGCUUAACUGCGCGGCGAAAAACCUUACACACAGUGAUUUUCUUUUCUUUGAAAACAUUGCUUUGGUCUGGCGCAAGUUGGGCCAAAGAUUUAUUAAACUUCAAUAUUUUUAUUGAAUUGUUAUUUUAACCAUAGUCAAUUUGUUGAUUAAAUUCAAAAAUCUUCAAAACUUUCAACAACGGAUCUCUUGGUUCUCGCAUCGAUGAAGAACGCAGCGAAUUGCGAUACGUAAUAUGAAUUGCAGAUUUUCGUGAAUCAUCGAAUCUUUGAACGCACAUUGCGCCCUUUGGUAUUCCAGAGGGCAUGCCUGUUUGAGCGUCAUUUCUCUCUCAAAUCUUCGGAUUUGGUAUUGAGUGAUACUCUUAGUCGGACUAGGCGUUUGCUUGAAAAGUAUUGGCAAGAGUGGUACUGAGAAGUGCUAAACUGUUUCAAUGUAUUAGGUUUAUCCAACUCGUUGAAUCUGAUUAGUAGUGAUCUGUGCUUAGGCUCGGCCUUACAACAACAAACAAAGUUGACCUCAAAUCAGGUAGAUGGGUUGCAU